CCUACGCGGCGCAGCAGUGAGGAAUAUUGGUCAAUGGACGCAAGUCUGAACCAGCCAUGCCGCGUGCAGGAAGACGGCUCUAUGAGUUGUAAACUGCUUUUGUACGAGGGUCAAUCCCGAUACGUGUAUCGGUUUGAAAGUAUCGUACGAAUAAGGAUCGGCUAACUCCGUGCCAGCAGCCGCGGUAAUACGGAGGAUUCAAGCGUUAUCCGGAUUUAUUGGGUUUAAAGGGUGCGUAGGCGGUUCGAUAAGUUAGAGGUGAAAUCCCGGGGCUCAACUCCGGCACUGCCUCUGAUACUGGCGGGCUAGAGUUUAGUUGCGGUAGGCGGAAUGUAUGGUGUAGCGGUGAAAUGCAUAGAGAUCAUAUAGAACACCGAGUGCGAAGGCAGCUUACCAAACUACGACUGACGUUGAGGCACGAAAGCGUGGGGAGCAAACAGGAUUAGAUACCCUUGUAGUC
rnacentral:rRNA from 1 species